AAAACCCGGGUCGAGUAGACUCGUUAACUCAGAUCUGAGUGACUUUCACGCGAGAUUCCACAGUCUAUCGUGUGCCUCAUAAUCAGCAGCAGGGCUUGCUAUGUCGAACAAGUCUCAUUUCAGAAAGGGCCUUCUGAGUGUCUCCGGUGAAACUUUGUAUCGAAUCUCAUUUUGGUUGUACAUUUGGAUUGUAUUCAUUGCAGUUUGAUUGAUUCUUUGUGGCAGGUUGAGAUGGAUGGAGUUUUAGAGUUGCUGAAAAUGAAGUUAGACGCAUGUGAAAGGUUAAGCAUAACGAGGUAAUGCAAAUGGGAGAUAAACUCUGGUACAUGGAAUCUCUAAGAGGUGUUACACUAUACCAAGUGGAGAACCGUUACAUGGACCAAUUAUUGUGGUAAGUGGGUGAACCACGGACAAGUAAUAUACUAACAUCCAUCAUCAGUUGAUUGCUUCAGUAUCCAUCUCAGGCUUAAAGAUGCUGUAUUCAUUGAUUCUUGUUAGUUCCUUACUUGCAUAAUAGAUGCUCUUGUGCAUGAUUCACUACAGCAAUCUUAGAGGAAGCUCUUCGGUUGGGGGUUUGUUACUUACAGAUUCUACUACGGGCAUAUCAUAAUCAUCUGUUUCCUCAAGUUAUAGUUUUCACGGCAACAUGAGUUGUAGACUUGAUUUGGUGAGAAAUAAAGUAGUGAUUGAAUCCUUUGAUCACACCGUAGCGUGCGUGGAGUUGAGAAAUAAGUUAUUUCUCUGUUUGCGCCUUGGAAUGCAAAGAGCACUGAUGGCCUGUAUACAUAUAAAAUGUUUACUUUUGAUGGCAAGCUGGAGUGAACUCAACUUGAUGUUAGAUAAAUCAUGUGACAGUUUUGAUAGAAAUCAUGUGGGCAUUAGGCUUUUUCAGUGUCGUGCAUUUGAUGCUUGAGUUUUGAAACAUUUUUUCCUGGCCUUUUCAUUUUCAACUUUGUAUUUCGAAUUUCAUGAUUUCUUAGAUAAAAAUAAUAUUAUGAAUCUAAUUUUCUUCCUAGUUAGCUUUUGGUCUCAUUAAACGCUUUGUCUUGCAGCUAGACCGUGGUACCCUGGAGUUGUUCAAUCCAUUGACUGGCAAGAUUCAGCGGUAUGAGUGUACCUGUAUGUUGCUCCUAUCUACUUAGUUAUAUAUUCUUUCUUGUUUCACGAUUCAUGGUUUGUUCUAUUAUGUUACUUCCUUUGGACCAAACUAGAGAGAACACUACAUAGCUAAUAAGUUUCCACCUAUGAAACUUGAUUUUGUGUGUGGGUAACAGGGAAAGUUUGAAACAUAAAGUUAGCUUGAUUGCCCUACAAGUAUAGGUUUCAGUUACUCAUUUUGGUUAGCUAAUUAGUAAUUAGUCACACGUUGAUAUUUUUAAAGUCAUUGUCAUUACUUCGAUGGGGAUCAAGGUCAAUGGGUUGGUUGCUUGAUUACUCAAUACUAUAUAAGGUAGCUCUUUUGGAUCAGAAGUUGCUCGUAGUGGAUCAGAAGUUGCUCGUUAGUAGCUACAAAUGCCGAGUAAUAGUAAGGCAUCAUCGGUGUGCAUGGUUCUUAGGUGUUGCUUGGCUAGCUUGGCAGGGGUUUCUGCUGUCGAUGAUGUUCCCCCUGAUUCGUAUGUGUUGAGAUCAAUGAGCCGUCGACCUAGAUCCUAGCUGAAGUUUUGAUCAGACAUGGCUUAUUCUCAGUCUUCUAGCUUAGGUUUGCUUCAGUCUAUAUUGCCAUGCGCUUGUCUUUUGGUGAGUGUUUUUUCUUCCGUCUUUGUUUGCUGUUGUAUUUUAAUUUUUCUCCUUCUGCUACUAAACUGAAAAUUGGUAAUUAUAUAACAUUUUUACA